rnacentral:rRNA from 1 species
GAUGAACGCUGGCGGCGUGCCUAAUACAUGCAAGUCGAACGCUGGAAAUCUAGCUUGCUAGAUUGAAGGAGUGGCGAACGGGUGAGUAAUACAUAAGCAACCUACCCACGAAGACUGGGAUAAUCUCUGGAAACGGGGACUAAUACCGGAUAGGUAAUCGGAAGGCAUCUUCUGAUUAUUAAAGGUUAAAAACACUGGUGGAUGGGCUUAUGGCGCAUUAGUUAGUUGGUGAGGUAACGGCCCACCAAGACGAUGAUGCGUAGCCGGCCUGAGAGGGUGAACGGCCACAUUGGGACUGAGACACGGCCCAGACUCCUACGGGAGGCAGCAGUAGGGAAUUUUCGGCAAUGGGGGAAACCCUGACCGAGCAACGCCGCGUAAGUGAUGACGGCCUUCGGGUUGUAAAGCUCUGUUGUAAGGGAAGAACGGUAGAUAGAGAAUAUCUAAAUGACGGUACCUUACCAGAAAGCCACGGCUAACUACGUG